UCACGUUUUAACAAAAAAUGGUUCAGUAAUAAAUUUACAAAGUUUUACCUUGGUGACAAAUUCAGAAGUGGUUGGUGUAGACUCGGAAAACUUAACAACACUAGUACAGAACAUUAUUAGAUUGUUUGGACUCGCUAUACUUCGAUGCGACGAUGUCUACAGUUUUGGAGUAGUUUUGGCUGAGACCAUCACAGAAGAAAAGACAUACAACAUUCCCAACUACAUUUCUGAAUAAUACGAUGCCUUUUAAACUGAGAUGAGUCCCGCAAAGACUACUCCAGGACUGUAAUAACACAUGACACGCAUCGCUGUAAGUACUUGUGUGUAGUUAGUUUGGAUCUAACCCUAAACGUAUUUUUCUGUAUAUAUAUGUUACCUCUAAGAGCAAAGAAGCCCGAUAUUGAUAUAGAGAAUUUAUCACCAGUUUUUUGUUAAUAAUCAAACUUUGAAUCUGCUCAACACAAACGAUAAAUUCAUUUUGAAGAGACCAAGACAUAUUGACAGGCACAGUUAUAUGUCUUGAAACCCACGGAACUAUCUUACUCAAGAUGGACUUGAAAACAAUAGAAGCAAACACGAGAUGUAAUUUUAGAAAGGUUCAAAAUCAAGACACAGUGACAAACCACUUAAGUUACAUAAGAGCAAAAUUAUCGGAGAGAGAAGUUAUACAUUAAUGGAGUUUGGUCAUCACAGCUCGAUCAUCAUUAUUUAUAAUCGGAAAAAAACAGCUCUUCAAUUAAUGAAGCUCAAGGUAUUAGUUGGGCAGAUACCCCAUCAGUUCUUGUCGUUGCCAUACCGAAACUUUAGCAUUCAUUGUCACCCCAUAAGCCAAUUAAUGUGUAACAUUGUUAUCCCAACACCACCACCAAAUACAACCAGAGGUAAGGAAACUGAAGUAACAGCAUCAACAAGAAAAUAAACUCAAGCUAUAACAUUCCAAAUUAUAUAGUGGUUUAACUGAGUAACUGAUAACACUAGAAAACGUUCGAGAAUGAAAAUUUGGAUUAGUUACUGCUUUCGUAGUAAACAAUUUUGAUCCAUCACAAUCAUUUUCCAUCUCCACUUAAAUCCUAAAGUAUAUUUUGUUUUUGUUUUUUUGAACACAUCCUACGGUAUAUAAUCUAUGAAUUUUACUCCUUCCCAUUUAAUUUUUUAUCUAUGCGCUUUAUAUUAUUUUCAUCAAAAAGCAAACACAUACAUGUUGUCAAAAAAAAAAAACAAACACAUACAUAUAAGUAUAACCCAUGUUGAUGAUUAUUUGGGAGUUCCAAAAGAAAAGUAUACAUCGCCAAAUGCCAAU